GAUGAACGCUGGCGGCCUGCUCAACACAUGCAAGUCGGCCGGUCCACACGGGUAUCGUUGCUUCCAGUGGCGGCCGGGUGGAUAACUCGUAAGACCGUGUCCUCCGGAUGGGAACAAUAGCUGCCAACGGGUGUUAAUACCCCGUAGGCUGUGGAGCACCAGGAGGGAGGCGCCCGAGGGGGGGCCCGCGUCUGAUUACCCAGUUGGUGAGGCAAUAGCUUACCAAGGCGGUGAUCAGUAGGUGGUCCGAGUGGAUGGUCUGACAGACGGGGACUGAGACACCUGCCAGCCGUCUCUGGGUGGCGGCGGUGGAGACAUGUUCGCAAUCGGCCACAGCGUGACGGAGCAAGGCCGGGUGGAGGUAGAGGGCCGACGGGUCGUGAACUCCUUGUCCGGGAGAAGAAGCAGUGACGGUAUCUGGGGAAUAAGCAUCGGCUAACUCUGGG
rnacentral:rRNA from 1 species